CUUGAGCUAAAUCCGGCAUAUUUACAGCACUGAUGUCUGUUCAUUAAUAUGCAUUGUCCCAUUCAAAUAAAGUAAUACAUGAAAUGAAAUUAAUGAAAUUGUUUUCUGUUGUAAUAAUGAUUG